UACAGAGGUCCCAAGCGUUGUUCGGAUUCAUUGGGCGUAAAGAGCUCGUAGGCGGUUUGUCGCGUCUGCUGUGAAAUCCCGAGGCUCAACCUCGGGUCUGCAGUGGGUACGGGCAGACUGGAGUGCGGUAGGGGAGAAUGGAAUUCCUGGUGUAGCGGUGGAAUGCGCAGAUAUCAGGGGGAACACCGAUGGCGAAGGCAGUUCUCUGGGCCGUAACUGACGCUGAGGAGCGAAAGCGUGGGGAGCGAACAGG
rnacentral:rRNA from 1 species